UCGCGCCGCAAGGCGCAAGGUCGCCCGACAACUGCCCCCUGGUGCUGGUUGCUUGCCCCACAGUAGCGACGCUCAGUUCUGAAGGCCUGUGCCGCGAAGUGGGGCUUACUGCACGUGGUGUUUUGCAGUCGGGCGCGUGAUGGAUUCCCCCGGACACCGGGUGGUCUUCCCGUAAGGGGCCACCGGACUGUCGAUCGGCAGUGAAAGAAUCGAGGUACCUUCGGGACCCGUCUUGAAACACGGACCAAGAAGUCUAUCUUGCGCGCGAGCCAAUGGUCGUCCUCCGGAGCACCAAAGGCGCAGAAAACAUAACUUGAGUUGUGCGGGAUUACGGGCGCGGCUCUCUGCUCGUCCCUCCAUCCCCGGGUGUUGUAAUCGGCAUGCGGCUACCGGGAUCCAGGCUUCACGGCCCCCGGCACCGUGCCACAACAUACCGUGAGUGUGCAGGAUGUGACCCGAAAGAUGGUGAACUAUGCCUGAUCAGGUUGAAGUCAGGGGAAACCCUGAUGGAGGACCGAAGCAGUUCUGACGUGCAAAUCGAUUGUCAGAAUUGGGCAUAGGGGCGAAAGACCAAUCGAACCAUCUAGUAGCUGGUUCCCUCCGAAGUUUCCCUCAGGAUAGCUGGAGCACGCAACGUUUCGAAUCCUAUUCUUAUCUGGUAAAGCGAAUGAUUAGAGGCCUUAGGUUCGAAAUGAUCUUAACCUAUUCUCAAACUAUAAAUGGGUACGUACCAUAGCAUUCUUGCAUGAUGCUGUUGCAAACGUUGGUAAACGCCGGACCGUCCCCUGUCAGGGCGUGCCACGGCGUAGAAGAUAUCUGUGUGCUUAGUGGGCCAAGUUUUGGUAAGCAGAACUGGUGCUGUGGGAUGAACCAAA
rnacentral:ncRNA from 1 species